rnacentral:rRNA from 1 species
UGAUCCACGCAUACUCAACCUUCUCUUGAUAUUCCAGCAUGUGUACUGCCGUUGUAAGCAUACCUCUAAAAGAAUAAGUAUGCUUAUAUAACUAAAUAACUCAUAUACAUCAGGUCAAAGUGCAGCUAAUAAGAAGGAGACGAUGGGUUACAACUCAAAAUAGAAUAUCAACUAAGAAAUAAAAAAUCUUACAAAAGUGGACUUGGCCGUAAUUAAUUUAUAAGUUAAAGAAAUGAAUAAAAAUCUAAGACAUGUACACAUCGCCCGUCACUCUACCCUAAAGGUUAGAUAAGUCGUAACAAAGUGGGUGUAAUGGAAAUUGUACCUGUCGGGGUAUAGCAUACAUAAUGCUUUUUACUUACACUAAAAAUAAAGUUAAUACAACUUACUUCGCCCAUAUAACACAAUCUUAUAAUGAAUUAAACAAUAGAAACAAUUAAAUAAUUUAAAAUAACAAAGUACAGAAAUGGAAAUAUAAAUUAAUAAAAGUAAAUUUUAACAAAUAUACCUUGUGCAUUAUGGUUUUACAAGAAAACAAUUAAAACACCAAUCCCGAAUUCUAGAUGAGAUGUUAAACUGCUGCUAGCGUGCCCAUUAAUAGCUGUGGAAUAAGCUUUAAAAGACAAUUUAACAGAGGCUACAUACCAUUCGCAUAAGAAUAUAGCUGGUUUUCAACAAACAUUAUAUAUUAAAACAUGUAGUCUUACCACACUGUAAUAUUAUUGAGGAUAAGCCCAAUAAUUUAAGCAAUAUAAAUACCAAUCUAAUACCUACUAUAGGCCUAAAAUCAGCCAAUUAAAAUACUUUAUCGUAACAAAUACUGAUAUAAUUCAUAUCCCUAUAUGCUAAAAGAAGUUGAAAUAAUGGAUAAACUACCCAAUCCACACAUACUAUGUAAAAAUAAGUAUUAUAGUCAUAAAUAAAUAAUUAUCUAGUAACAAUAACACAUAAAAAUAUAAUAAUUAAUUAAGGAACUCGGCAAACCACUAUUUCGACUGUUUAACAAAAACAUUGUCUCAUGAAACAAAUAUGAGAUAACCCCCUCCCCAAG